rnacentral:lncRNA from 7 species
AGUCACAUUUCUGUUGGCUUUUUGAUGAUCCUUUUCACGGCCUUGAGAAAUUAAUUGCUGCUACAAAAUACCAGAGGCUCUGAGAGCCGCAUGGAAGGAGUUCGUUUAUAACUUAACUUAUAGGUGCACGUGGAGCAAUGCCAGCAGAACAGCGUGGUGAUGCUAACAGCUGUCCUGGGGGCAGCCACCCGGUGCGUGGCUGUGCUGCUCUUUGCUCACGGGUUUACACCUGAAGGCUGCUGCUUAUUGCUUCAGCUUUCCACCUGUGAAGUCUGGGGAGAUGGUGAUCCCAAAGAACGUGGAGCAGCAGGAGUUUCCCUUGACGUGGAGAAUAAAUCCAUAGCAUUAUUGAGACAAUGCUGACAGUAAAAGAGGAGACCACGGGAUAUUCCCAGCGAGAGCUAGCAAACAGCAGCUAUCUCUCCUAGGAUUCCUGCUGUGUGGAUUCAGAGGGAGAUCAGCUGGGAAGCGGGGAGAGGUGACAUCGUGGCUCUGAACCCUCUUCAGCAUUCUGCUCUAAUGUUCUGACAAGGUGGAAGGAGCCUGGGUCCCCUAGAGGAUCACGUCCCACGGCUGCACCACGGCUGCCCUCCUCUCCCAGCUCUGGUGUGGGCAUUCCAACUUCCCCACCCUGGGAUGUGAACCAUCUCCCCCUCUGUGGCAGAUUCUGACAGCACCCAGCGUGUCCCUAAGCCCAGGGGACACUUUGCUGCCCGCACUCUGCACCGGCCCCAGCGAUGGCACAGCAAUGAAUCACCGUCUGGUGCUGACAGCAUCCCUCUCCAUACCACACCUGCCACGCUUUGGUUCGCCCUUCCCCUGAACAAGUUUUUCCCCUUCCCUUUGAGAGUGGUUCUUUUCAGCUGCCCAUGAAAGGGCCCUGUUCCCGGUGAUGGAUUGCACCUGAUUUCAAUAUCAAUGAGGGCGUGCUCUGCUCCUGCAGCCCCUAGCAGCUUGUUUAGCCCGGGUUUGUUAACAGGGUUGCCCUCUUCUUUUCCCUCACCGUUUCCUCCCUCUCUGCACCGAGGGCAAAAGCUGUGGCUGAUCUCAUCCUCGGGAAGGAGUUCUCCUGUUGUGGGCUGGACUGUGCAGGUGAUGGGUUUGGGACGCUCAGGGGCACUGAGGUUGGGUUUAUUGAGGACUGUGGGAUGGGGAAGGGUGGUGGGUGCGGGGUCUCCAUGAGCAGCCCCAGGAGGUGGUGUUGCCAUGGUUCCUCCUCGCUC